UACGGCCACAUCGUUGAAACACCAGUUCCCGUACGAUCAUCGAAGUUAAGCAACAUCGAGCCUGAUCAGAACCUUGAUGGGGUGACCACUCAGGAAUACGAGGUGCUGUAAG